GUGCCAGCAGCCGCGGUAAUUCCAGCUCCAAUAGCGUAUAUUAAAGUUGUUGUGGUUAAAAAGCUCGUAGUUGAACCUUGGGCCUGGCUGGCCGGUCCGCCUCACCGCGUGCACUGGUCCGGCCGGGCCUUUCCCUCUGUGGAACCCCAUACCCUUCACUGGGCGUGGCGGGGAAACAGGACAUUUACUUUGAAAAAAUUAGAGUGCUCCAGGCAGGCCUAUGCUCGAAUACAUUAGCAUGGAAUAAUAAAAUAGGACGCGCGGUUCUAUUUUGUUGGUUUAUAGGACCGCCGUAAUGAUUAAUAGGGACAGUCGGGGGCAUCAGUAUUCAACUGUCAGAGGUGAAAUUCUUGGAUCAGUUGAAGACUAACUACUGCGAAAGCAUUUGCCAAGGAUGUUUUCAUUAAUCAGGAACGAAAGUUAGGGGAUCGAAGACGAUCAGAUACCGUCGUAGUCUUAACCAUAAACUAUGCCGACUAGGGAUCGGACGGUGUUAUUCAUGACCCGUUCGGCACCUUACGAGAAAUCAAAGUGCUUGGGCUCCAGGGGGAGUAUGGUCGCAAGGCUGAAACUUAAAGAAAUUGACGGAAGGGCACCACCAGGGGUGGAGCCUGCGGCUUAAUUUGACUCAACACGGGGAAACUCACCAGGUCCAGACACAAUAAGGAUUGACAGAUUGAGAGCUCUUUCUUGAUUUUGUGGGUGGUGUGCAUGACCGUUCUUAGUUGGUGGGGUGACUUGUCUGCUUAAUUGCGAUACGAACGAGACCUUAACCUGCUAAAUAGCCCGCAUGCUCGCAGUGCGCUGGCUUCUUAGAGGGACUUCGGCUCAAGCCGAAGGAAGUUGAGGCAUUAACAGU
rnacentral:rRNA from 1 species